rnacentral:rRNA from 1 species
AUUGAACGCUGGCGGCAUGCCUUACACAUGCAAGUCGAACGGCAGCAUGGAAGAGCUUGCUCUUCUGAUGGCGAGUGGCGAACGGGUGAGUAAAGCAUCGGAACGUACCGUGUAGUGGGGGAUAACGUAGCGAAAGUUACGCUAAUACCGCAUACGCACUGAGUGGAAAGCAGGGGAUCGCAAGACCUUGCGCUAUACGAGCGGCCGAUGUCAGAUUAGCUAGUUGGUAGGGUAAAGGCUCACCAAGCCAACGAUCUGUAGCUGGUCCUGAGAGGACGACCAGCCACACUGGGACUGAGACACGGCCCAGACUCCUACGGGAGGCAGCAGUGGGGAAUUUUGGACAAUGGGCGCAAGCCUGAUCCAGCCAUGCCGCGUGCGGGAAGAAGGCCUUCGGGUUGUAAACCGCUUUGUCAGGGAAGAAAUCUUCUGGGCUAAUACCUCGGGAGGAUGACGGUACCUGAAGAAUAAGCACCGGCUAACUACGUG